AGAGUUUGAUCAUGGCUCAGGGCGAACGCUGGCGGCGUGCCUAACACAUGCAAGUCGAGCGGGUACCCGCAAGGGUACCAGCGGCGCACGGGUGAGUAACACGUGGGUAAUCUACCCCUCGGAGGGGGAUAACCGGGGGAAACUCCGGCUAAUACCCCAUACGAUCCAACAACACAAGUUGUUGGAUGAAAGGAGCGUUUGCUCCGCCGAGGGAUGAGCCCGCGGCCCAUCAGGUAGUUGGUGGGGUAAUGGCCCACCAAGCCUACGACGGGUAGCCGGCCUGAGAGGGUGGUCGGCCACAAGGGCACUGAGACACGGGCCCUACUCCUACGGGAGGCAGCAGUGGGGAAUCUUGGACAAUGGGCGAAAGCCUGAUCCAGCGACGCCGCGUGGGGGAUGAAGCCCUUCGGGGUGUAAACCCCUGUUGCGAGGGAGGAAUAAGGCCUGGAGGAAAUGCCAGGCCGAUGACUGUACCUCGCGAGGAAGCCCCGGCUAACUACGUGCCAGCAGCCGCGGUAAUACGUAGGGGGCGAGCGUUACCCGGAUUCACUGGGCGUAAAGCGGGUGUAGGCGGCUCGGUAAGUCGGGUGUGAAAUCCCACAGCUCAACUGUGGAAUUGCGCCCGGAACUGCUGAGCUUGGGGCCGGUAGAGGGAGACGGAACUGCCGGUGUAGGGGUGAAAUCCGUAGAUAUCGGCAGGAACGCCGGUGGGGAAGCCGGUCUCCUGGGCCGCGCCCGACGCUGAGACCCGAAAGCUAGGGGAGCAAACCGGAUUAGAUACCCGGGUAGUCCUAGCCGUAAACGAUGCCCACUAGGUGUGGGGGAUUAAUUCCUCCGUGCUGUAGCUAACGCGUUAGUGGGCCGCCUGGGGAGUCGCCCGCAAGGUGAAACUCAAUGAAUUGACGG
rnacentral:rRNA from 1 species